GUUUGCACUUAUCGGGGAAGGGUGAGAACCUUCGAUUAAGGUUCGACUCGAGCGAAAGCGAGAGAACGUUGCCAACGGCAACGG
rnacentral:sRNA from 2 species